rnacentral:rRNA from 1 species
UACGUAGGGGGCAAGCGUUGUCCGGAUUUAUUGGGCGUAAAGAACGUGUAGGUGGCCAAGCAGGUCAGCUGUGAAAACUCGAGGCUCAACCUCGAGACGUCGGUUGAAACCGCUUGGCUAGAGUCCGGAAGAGGAGAGUGGAAUUCCCGGUGUAGCGGUGAAAUGCGCAGAUAUCGGGAAGAACACCCGUGGCGAAGGCGGCUCUCUGGGACGGUACUGACGCUGAGACGCGAAAGCGUGGGGAGCGAACAGG